GAGAUAUGUUCAGAGCAGGAGUGUAGAACAAUAGCUCUUCUGUUUAUGACACCCCUAAUACCAAUGUGUGGGCUUUCGUGAGGAAGCAAACAAAAAUGUGUGCGUUCCUGCGAAUAAAUGCCCUGUAUGU
ensembl:snoRNA